rnacentral:rRNA from 1 species
GAGUGGCGCACGGGUGAGUAACGCGUAUCCGACCUGCCGCACACUCCGGGAUAGCCUUGCGAAAGCAAGUUUAAUACCGGAUGCCGUAAGGAUGCCGCAUGGUGUUUUUACGAAAGGGAUUUACCGGUGUGCGAUGGGGAUGCGUCCCAUUAGCUUGUUGGCGGGGUAACGGCCCACCAAGGCGACGAUGGGUAGGGGUUCUGAGAGGAAGGUCCCCCACAUUGGAACUGAGACACGGUCCAAACUCCUACGGGAGGCAGCAGUGAGGAAUAUUGGUCAAUGGGCGGAAGCCUGAACCAGCCAAGUAGCGUGCAGGAAGACGGCCCUAUGGGUUGUAAACUGCUUUUAAGCGGGGAUAAAGUCAGGGACGUGUCCCUGUUUGCAGGUACCGCUUGAAUAAGGACCCGGCUAAUUCCGUGCCAGCAGCCGCGGUAAUACGGAAGGUCCGGGCGUUAUCCGGAUUUAUUGGGUUUAAAGGGAGCGUAGGCGGGACUCCAAGUCAGCUGUGAAAUGCCAUGGCUCAACCAUGGAGCUGCAGUUGAAACUGGUGUUCUUGAGUUGUCGCAGGGGCGGUGGAACUCGUGGUGUAGCGGUGAAAUGCUUAGAUAUCACGAAGAACUCCGAUCGCGAAGGCAGCCGCCCGGUGGCCGACUGACGCUGAGGCUCGAAGGUGCGGGUAUCAAACAGGAUUAGAUACCCUGGUAGUCCGCACGGUAAACGUUGGAUACUCGCGGUUGGUUAUUAGUUAGUCAGCCGCCAAGCGAAAGUGUUAAGUAUCCCACCUGGGGAGUACGCCGGCAACGGUGAAACUCAAAGGAAUUGACGGGGGCCCGCACAAGCGGAGGAACAUGUGGUUUAAUUCGAUGAUACGCGAGGAACCUUACCCGGGUUUGAAUUCGGCAGGAAGGUGCUUGAGAGAGCGCUGUCCCUUCGGGGUCUGCCGGAAGGUGCUGCAUGGGUUGUCGUCAGCUCGUGCCGGUGAGGUGUCGGGCUUAAGUGCCAUAACGAGCGCAACCCUCGCCGUCGGUUGCCAUCGGGUAAUGCCGGGCACUCCGUCGGGACUGCCCCCGCAAGGGGCGAGGAAGGGGGGGAUGACGUCAAAUCAGCACGGCCCUUACGUCCGGGGCUACACACGUGUUACAAUGGGUGGUACAGCGGGCAGCGCGGCGGCGACGCCAAGCGAAUCCCGAAAGCCACCCCCAGUUCGGACUGGAGUCUGCAACCCGACUCCACGAAGCCGGAUUCGCUAGUAAUCGCGCAUCAGCCAUGGCGCGGUGAAUACGUUCCCGGGCCUUGUACACACCGCCCGUCAAGCCAUGAAAGCCGGGGGUGCCUGAAAGCCGUGACCGCGAGGGUCGGCCUAGGGUAAGACCGGUGAUUGGGGCUA